rnacentral:ncRNA from 2 species
AAGGGUCUUCAGGGCAGGGUGAAAUUCCCGACCGGCGGUGAUUUACAGUCGUUGAUAAUCUGUUACUUUUUAUGAAAUGUUAUAAUUUCUUGAUAUAGCUUUGAAGUGUAACAUACUCUAAAAAUAAAAGCUUUGUCAACUGAAUAAACUGUUUUAAGUCCGCGAGCAUGAGCUGAUGUGGUGUAAUUCCACAACCGACAGUACAGUCUGGAUGGGAGAAGACGAAA